rnacentral:rRNA from 1 species
GACGAACGCUGGCGGCGUGCCUAACACAUGCAAGUCGAACGGAAAGGUCCUGCUCUUGCGGGGUGCUCGAGUGGGGAACGGGUGAGUAACACGUGAGUAAACUGUCCCUGUCAGAGGGAUAACUUCAGGAAACACGGGCGCAUAUCGGAUAGGAUAUACUGAAGCAUGGUGGGGGAUGGAAAGUUUCGGCGGUUGGGGCAGGUCUCGCGGCUUAUCAGCCUGUUGGGGGGGUAGUGGCUUACCAAGGCUAUGACGGGUAGCCGGCCUGAGAGGGUGACCGGCUACAUAGGGACAGAGGUACGGGCCGUACUCAUACUGGCGGCAAGAGUGGGAAAUAGAGCACAAUGGGCGGAAGGAUGAAGGAACAACGCCGGGUGGGGGAUGACGGCUACGAGUUGUAAACCACUUUCGCCUGUGACGAAGCGUGAGUGACGGUAAUGGGUAAAGAAGCACCGGCUAACUACGUG